rnacentral:rRNA from 1 species
AUUGAACGCUGGCGGCAGGCUUAACACAUGCAAGUCGAGCGAGCGGCGGACGGGUGAGUAAUGUCUGGGAAACUGCCUGAUGGAGGGGGAUAACUACUGGAAACGGUAGCUAAUACCGCAUACCAUCAGAUGUGCCCAGAUGGGAUUAGCUAUUUGGUGGGGUAAUGGCUAACCUAGGCGACGAUCCCUAGCUGAUCUGAGAGGCUGACCAGCCAGACAGGAACUGAGGAACGGACCAGACUCCUACGGGAGGCAGCAGUGGGGAUUGUUGCACAAAGGGCGCAAGCCUGCAGGAGCCAUGCCGCGUGUGUGAAGAAGGCCUUCGGGUUGUAAAGUACUUUCAGCGAGGAGGCGUUACUCGCAGAAGAAGCACCGGCUAAAUCCGUGCCAGCAGCCGAGGUAAUAC